rnacentral:rRNA from 1 species
GAUGAACGCUGGCGGCGUGCCUAAUACAUGCAAGUCGAGCGAAGCGGGGACGGGUGAGUAACACGUGGAUAACCUCCUAUAAGACUGGGAUAACUUCGGGAAACCGGAGCUAAACCGGAUAAUUUUACAUGGAGCCGCGGUGCAUGAGCUAGUGGGUAAGUUAACGGCUUACCAAGGCAACGAUUCAUAGCCGACCUGAGAGGGUGAUCGGCCACACUGGAACGGAGACACGGUCCAGACUCCUACGGGAGGCAGCAGUAGGGAAUCUUCCGCAAUGGGCGAAAGCCUGACGGCGCAACGCCGCGUGUUUGAUGAAGGUCUUCGGAUCGUAAAACUCUGUUAUUAGGGAGGCGGUACCUAAUCAGAAAGCCACGGCUAACUACGUGCCAGCAGCCGCGGUAAUAC